UGUGCCAGCAGCCGCGGUAAUACGAAGGGUGCAAGCGUUACUCGGAAUUACUGGGCGUAAAGCGUGCGUAGGUGGUUCGUUAAGUCUGAUGUGAAAGCCCUGGGCUCAACCUGGGAACUGCAUUGGAUACUGGCGAUCUGGAGUGCGGUAGAGGGUAGCGGAAUUCCCGGUGCAGCAGUGAAAUGCGUAGAUAUCGGGAGGAACAUCCGUGGCGAAGGCGGCUACCUGGACCAGCACUGACACUGAGGCACGAAAGCGUGGGGAGCAAACAGGAUUAGAU
rnacentral:rRNA from 1 species